rnacentral:rRNA from 1 species
GAUGAACGCUAGCGGCAGGCUUAAUACAUGCAAGUCGAGGGGCAGCACGGUUAGCAAUAACUGGUGGCGACCGGCGCACGGGUGCGUAACACGUAUACAAUCUACCUUAAACAGGGGGAUAGCCUUUCGAAAGAGAGAUUAAUACCCCGUAAUAAAUUGAACGGCAUCGUUUGAUUUUUGAAAGCUCCGGCGGUUUGAGAUGAGUAUGCGUCUGAUUAGCUAGUUGGUGAGGUAACGGCUCACCAAGGCGACGAUCAGUAGGGGAUCUGAGAGGACUAACCCCCACACUGGUACUGAGACACGGACCAGACUCCUACGGGAGGCAAGCAGUAAGGAAUAUUGGUCAAUGGAGGCAACUCUGAACCAGCCA